rnacentral:rRNA from 1 species
GAUGAACGCUAGCGGCAGGCCUAAUACAUGCAAGUCGGACGGGAUUCAGGAGCUUGCUUCUGAUGAGAGUGGCGCACGGGUGCGUAACACGUAUGUAACCUACCUUUAUCAGGGGGAUAGCCUCUCGAAAGAGAGAUUAAGCCCGCAUAAAAUCACAGCACAGCAUUGUGUAAUGAUCAAAUAUUUAUAGGAUAAAGAUGGGCAUGCGGAACAUUAGCUAGAUGGCGGGGUAACGGCCCACCAUGGCGACGAUGUUUAGGGGAUCUGAGAGGAUGGCCCCCCACACUGGUACUGAGACACGGACCAGACUCCUACGGGAGGCAGCAGUAAGGAAUAUUGGUCAAUGGGCGGAAGCCUGAACCAGCCAUGCCGCGUGCAGGAAGACGGCCAUACGGGUUGUAAACUGCUUUUAGACGGGAAUAAACCCAGAUACGUGUAUCUGGCUGAAUGUACUGUAAGAAUAAGGAUCGGCUAACUCCGUG